rnacentral:rRNA from 1 species
GAUGAACGCUGACAGAAUGCUUAACACAUGCAAGUCGACUCGAGCCUUCGGACUUGGGUGGCGGACGGGUGAGUAACGCGUAAAGAACUUGCCUCAUAGUCUGGGACAACAUCUGGAAACGGAUGCUAAUACCGGAUAUUAUGCUUUCUUCGCAUGGAGGAAGUAUGAAAGCUAUAUGCGCUAUGAGAGAGCUUUGCGUCCCAUUAGCUAGUUGGUGAGGUAACGGCCCACCAAGGCGAUGAUGGGUAGCCGGCCUGAGAGGGUGAACGGCCACAAGGGGACUGAGACACGGCCCUUACUCCUACGGGAGGCAGCAGUGGGAAAUAUUGGACAAUGGACCAAAAGUCUGAUCCAGCAAUUCUGUGUGCACGAUGACGUUUUUCGGAAUGUAAAGUGCUUUCAGUCGGGAAGAAGCAAGUGACGGUACCGACAGAAGAAGCGACGGCUAAAUACGUGCCAGCAGCCGCGGUAAUACGUAUGUCGCAAGCGUUAUCCGGAUUUAUUGGGCGUAAAGCGCGUCUAGGCGGCAAGGAAAGUCUGAUGUGAAAAUGCGGGGCUCAACUCCGUAUUGCGUUGGAAACUGCCUUACUAGAGUACUGGAGAGGUAGGCGGAACUACAAGUGUAGAGGUGAAAUUCGUAGAUAUUUGUAGGAAUGCCGAUGGGGAAGCCAGCCUACUGGACAGAUACUGACGCUAAAGCGCGAAAGCGUGGGUAGCAAACAGG